GACGAACGCUGGCGGCGUGCUUAACACAUGCAAGUCGAACGGUAAGGCCCUUCGGGGUACACAAGUGGCGAACGGGUGAGUAACACGUGGGUGAUCUGCCCUGCACUUCGGGAUAAGCCUGGGAAACUGGGUCUAAUACCGGAUAGGACCACUGCCUGCAUGGGUGGUGGUGGAAAGCUUUUGCGGAGUGGGAUGGGCCCGCGGCCUAUCAGCUUGUUGGUGGGGUGAUGGCCUACCAAGGCGACGACGGGUAGCCGGCCUGAGAGGGUGACCGGCCACACUGGGACUGAGAUACGGCCCAGACUCCUACGGGAGGCAGCAGUGGGGAAUAUUGCACAAUGGGCGCAAGCCUGAUGCAGCGACGCCGCGUGAGGGAUGACGGCCUUCGGGUUGUAAACCUCUUUCAGCACCGACGAAGCGCAAGUGACGGUAGGUGCAGAAGAAGGACCGGCCAACUACGUGCCAGCCGCCGCAGUAA
rnacentral:rRNA from 1 species